rnacentral:rRNA from 1 species
GAUGAACGCUAGCUACAGGCUUAACACAUGCAAGUCGAGGGGCAGCAUGAACUUAGCUUGCUAAGUUUGAUGGCGACCGGCGCACGGGUGAGUAACACGUAUCCAACCUGCCGAUGACUCGGGGAUAGCCUUUCGAAAGAAAGAUUAAUACCCGAUGGCAUAGUUCUUCCGCAUGGUAGAACUAUUAAAGAAUUUCGGUCAUCGAUGGGGAUGCGUUCCAUUAGGUUGUUGGCGGGGUAACGGCCCACCAAGCCUUCGAUGGAUAGGGGUUCUGAGAGGAAGGUCCCCCACAUUGGAACUGAGACACGGUCCAAACUCCUACGGGAGGCGGCAGUGAGGAAUAUUGGUCAAUGGACGAGAGUCUGAACCAGCCAAGUAGCGUGAAGGAUGACUGCCCUAUGGGUUGUAAACUUCUUUUAUACGGGAAUAAAGUGAGGCACGGGUGCCUUUUUGUAUGUACCGUAUGAAUAAGAAUCGGCUAACUCCGUG